AAGCCAGGGAAACAAGUCCUGCUUUUCCCUGGAUGUUUUUAAAAUGACCUGUCAGACGGAUUUUGGUAGUUUUGUCUGCCUAUCCAGCCCUGCCCAAUGAUCUGGAAUAACCAGAUGUGGAUGUUUAACCGCGUCAGUGGAGCUCUCGCCUCACAAUCAGGAAGCUGAACUCAAGCCAUGUGAUCCUGUCCACCAUUAAACCAUCUUUCCAAG